AAACUCGAUAGAGGAGCGGGCGCGAAGACGCGCGGGCGAGCCGGCAGGCAACGACCCCGCACCGAGGCAACCCCGCCGAACUUGGUCGACCGGGCGCGGAAGGCCAGGUGGGCUUGCGGGGAACACCCGCAAGACUGUCUGCACAGACAUUCUGCAGGAGUGCUAUCAGAAAA
rnacentral:ncRNA from 2 species